GAUGAAGAACGUAGCGAAAUGCGAUAAGUAGUGUGAAUUGCAGAAUUCAGUGAAUCAUCGAAUCUUUGAUCGCACAUUGCGCCCCUUGGUAUUCCAUGGGGCAUGCCUGUUCGAGCGUCAUUUGUACCUUCAAGCUUUGCUUGGUGUUGGGUGUUUGUCUCGCCUUUGCGUGUAGACUCGCCUUAAAAUAAUUGGCAGCCGGCGUAUUGAUUUCGGAGCGCAGUACAUCUCGCGCUUUGCACUCAUAACGACAGCGUCCAAAAGUACAUUUUACACUCUUGACCUCGGAUCAGGUAGGGAUACCCGCUGAACUUAAGCAUAUCAAAAAGCGGAGGA
rnacentral:misc_RNA from 1 species